GGGGGCCCGGAGUCUUCCCAGCGGCUCCAGAUGGCCCCGGAGCUGCGGGCACGUGCGAAGGACUAGCGCUGGGCUCGACCCGGGACCGCCGUCCCCUUCCCGGGAGACUCGCCUCCCCCGCUAGUUGAGUUGCAGAGAUUUCUCAGUGAGAAACAACCUGAUUCUCUCCUGCCUGCUCAGAAAAUGUCCUCUUACUAAAGAUGUGUGAUCCCUAGGAAGGAUGCUCUUUUUGGUCUAGUUAAGAUCUGAAGAGAAGAUGCUCUGUGGGAGGGCUGUCAGUUCCUGCCAGCUCCAGUCGACUGGGGUCCUAGGGGCUGCUAUUAGGGGCUGCCGAGGGCAAGGGCUGCCUGGGCAGCCUCGAUGCUGCCAGCCAGAUCGCUCUGCAAGCGUCUCAGGUUACUUCCUGGGCUGAGGAAGAAAACCGCUUGCUCUCCUGGGCUCUUGGCUAAACUGGAGGCGGCCUUAUCUGGGUUGCAAUCCGUUCUGGCCAUCACUCACUUCAGCAAGGGCUUUUCAGGGCUUCAAGGCAAGAUCUUUGACAGGAGAAGGGGUGCCCUGAUGCUGAAGGACCGAGGCAAGGAUUUGAGGCUCUCUGGAGACUGGCCGCAAGACCUGGCUCUGUCCUCACCCCAGCCUUAUUCUGGGGAAGUUGGCCUCCUCUCUUGGAUCUUCACUGGAUUUUCUUUCCUGGUCAUAAUUUUAUAUUGUUCACACAUAUUGCAAAAGAGACCCACCCAGGCCAUAGAGGCGGCUAAUUUUUCAGUGGGGUGGCGGUUAAUGCCACCCCACUUGGGUCUCCAAGCUGGAUUAGCUGUGCACCACGGAGAGCGUGCCAAGGCUGGGGGCUGGCGAGAACAGGAGGAAGGAAGAAAGCAUUUUUGUGCUUGUGCAGUCCUGAGCCAUGAGAAGUGCAGAAAUCUCGGAGGAGGCCGGCGGAGGGCAAAGUCGGCUCUUCAUGGUCUUCUGGUGCACAGUCCGGCGUCCUGGAGGGACUCAGACACACUCCGGCGUCCUGGAGGGACUCUAGUCACACCGGUGGCUGCCCAGCAGGGAGCCUUUAAGGUCCACGGAUUGGACCAGCCACCCCAAGGCGGAUUGCGGACUCAGAGCAGGUGCCAGGCCCAGCCGGCAACCCCUCCGCAGCCUCGCCUGUAACGCAGACCCAGACCCAAGAGCAGCUGCACGUGGGAAGGAAAACUCUUUAAACAAAUCAUUUUGGUGUCUAA